rnacentral:rRNA from 1 species
UACAGAGGUCUCAAGCGUUGUUCGGAUUCAUUGGGCGUAAAGGGUGCGUAGGUGGCGCGCUAAGUCAGGUGUGAAAUUUCGGAGCUUAACUCCGAAACUGCAUUUGAUACUGGCGUGCUUGAGGACUGGAGAGGAGACUGGAAUUUACGGUGUAGCGGUGAAAUGCGCAGAUAUCGGGAGGAACACCAAUGGCAGAAGGCAGCUCGGCUGGGACGUUACUGA